rnacentral:rRNA from 1 species
AUUGAACGCUGGCGGCAUGCCUUACACAUGCAAGUCGAACAGCAGCGCGGGCUUCGGCCUGGCGGCGAGUGGCGAACGGGCGAGUAAUGCAUCCGAACGUGCCCAGUAGUUGGGGAUAGCCUGGCUACAGCCGGAUUAAUACCGCACACGAUCAGAGUGUGAAAGCGGGGGAUCGAAAGUCCUCGCGCGAUUUGCUCUGCCGAGGUCGGAUUAGCUAGUUGGUGGGGUAAAGGCUUACCAAGGCGACGAUCCGUAGCUGGGCUGAGAGGACGACCGGCCACACUGGAACUGAGACACGGCCCAGACUCCUACGGGAGGCAGCAGUGGGGAAUUUUGGACAAUGGGGGCAAGCCUGAUGCAGCAAUGCCGCGUGCGUGAAGAAGGCCUUCGGGUUGUAAACCGCUUUUGUUAGGGAAGAAAUCAUGUGGGCUAAUACCCCGGGGGGAUGACGGUACCGAAAGAAUAAGCACCGGCUAACUACGUG